GACGAACGCUGGCGGCGUGCCUAACACAUGCAAGUCGAGCGGGGAUUUAAGUGGAAGUUCUUCGGAAUGGAGAUUUAAAUUCUAGCGGCGGACGGGUGAGUAACGCGUGAACAAUCUGUCCCGGACAGGGGGAUAACACUUGGAAACAGGUGCUAAUACCGCAUAAGACCACGGCCUCGCAUGGGGCUGAGGUAAAAGGAGCAAUCCGGUUCGGGGUGAGUUCGCGUCCGAUUAGCUAGUUGGUGAGGUAACGGCCCACCAAGGCGACGAUCGGUAGCCGACCUGAGAGGGUGAACGGCCACAUUGGAACUGAGAGACGGUCCAAACUCCUACGGGAGGCAGCAGUGGGGAAUAUUGGGCAAUGGGCGAAAGCCUGACCCAGCAACGCCGCGUGAGGGAAGAAGGUUUUCGGAUUGUAAACCUCUGUCCUAUGGGACGAAGGAAGUGACGGUACCAUAGGAGGAAGCCCCGGCUAACUACGUG
rnacentral:rRNA from 1 species